rnacentral:miRNA from 18 species
ACUCCAUUUGUUUUGAUGAUGGA